CAGCAGCCGCGGUAAUACGGAGGGCGCGAGCGUUAAUCGGAAUAACUGGGCGUAAAGGGCACGCAGGCGGUGACUUAAGUGAGGUGUGAAAGCCCCGGGCUUAACCUGGGAAUUGCAUUUCAUACUGGGUCGCUAGAGUACUUUAGGGAGGGGUAGAAUUCCACGUGCAGCGGUGAAAUGCGUAGAGAUGUGGAGGAAUACCGAAGGCGAAGGCAGCCCCUUGGGAAUGUACUGACGCUCAUGUGCGAAAGCGUGGGGAGCAAACAGGAUUAGAUACCCCCGUAGUCCCUGUCUCUUAUAA
rnacentral:rRNA from 1 species